rnacentral:lncRNA from 1 species
CGGAAUUAUGUGGCUUUUUAAGCAGUAGAUUAACCAUAUAGUUUUACAUGAUAGUGAGCACAGUUCCGUACAUCAAGUGGAGUAAUCAAAUGCAUAAAUAACAAAUUCACCGGGUUAGCGGGUAAACCCAUAAGUUUUUGCCGGGUACCAAAACCCCGCUGAUCCCUCCCGCACUUGCCUGAUGCAGUGGGGCCUACUAAUACUAUCAAACACUAAAUGGUCAAAAUUCGAAACCAAAAUCUGACGGAGAUGCUCUUCUGCCGCAAGCUUCCCCUCCUCCGAUCGCGACCGUUCUCCGCCCUCCACGGCGUCGCUAGACAGGCUAUACUCUCCCCAUCGUCAUCCUUCCACCAUCACCAAUCAUGUUACGCAACUAAAACCUUAACACGCAACAAUAAAACACACAUUAAUAAUUGUGAUGAUAAUAAUAAUGGUGAUGAUGAAAGGAGAGGCAAGUGGUUCACUUUACCUCCGUUUACUUCCACAAUCGACGGCUCAGCCUUGGGAAGACAGCUCGCUUGCCCCUCGAAAUCCCCCAUUUCCGAAACGACAGCGCUUAAGUGGGUUCUUCAGUGCUGUCCUGGCUUGCCCAGAAAUUUUGUUCAGAAGCUUUUUCGCUUGAGCCAGGUUUUUUUUUUUUUUUUUGGGGGGGGGGGGUGUGGAAUCUCUUAAAAAAGGCUUUUCGAGCUUCUAGUUGAAACUUGAAAGUAUACUAACUGUUAAAAAUUCAAUCUUUGUUGAGGAUAAGCAAGUUUUUCAUGGAAUGCUAUGUAUGCAGGUUCGAAGAGAAUCCCCUAGUUUGGACAGCUCUGCUAAUGAAGGGCACGAACAGGAAAUUAAACUAAAAAGAGUAAUUGAAGAUGCUGUUACAUUCUCAUUUGAUUAAAAUUAUCUUAUGCUUUAGUGUAAUGAAUGUGGUAUGCGUUCGUUGUCACCUUGAACUAAUGGGUGCCAUAUGUUACUGGAAGGUGGCAGCUAAGGAUUCAUUGAAGUUGGGAGAUCGAAUCUUUCUCCCGAUUAGCAUUCAGGAGUCACCUUCUAGGAAAGAAAAGUGCCCUUGCACUGAGGAAGAAGUGGGGUUUAUUCAAAGCCUAGAGUUGUAUAAGGUUCUCAAUUUUAACUCUUCCAUGGUUGGUGUUUCACUAACUCACUUCUCUCUCAUAACCCCGCACGGCUUUCCAAAUAUAGGAUUCAGCCAUUAUCGUUAUCAAUAAACCUCAUGGGAUGCCUGUACAAGUAAGCUAUGAGACUCUGAUUUCUGAUCACUAAUUCUUAUUCCAGAUUUGUCUGUUUUUCGGUGGUCGUUUUAUAAAAUUUGUCUGGGUUUUAUGUUUAAACAGGGGGGCAUAGGAAUUAGAAGAAGUAUCGAUGAACUGGCUGCUACUUGUUUAACUUAUGAUUACUCAGAACCGCCACGACUGGUGAGUUUCCUUUGGACUUAAAUAUAAACAAUUCACAUGAUAAAUAAUAGUGCCGUAUGCAGCAUGUUUAUCCUGACAGACAUAAUGCUAGUUGUGUUGUGCAUUGCCAUUCAUUUGAUCACUUGUAUCUUUGAUUAUAUUGUGCUGUAAGAUUAAAAUUGGAUUGACACCAUUGCAUAUUUAAGCAUUGCUGUGGGUUAUUUUGAUCUCAUUGUUCAGGAUCUUCUUUUUUGUUAACCUAGCUGGGUGUCAAAAGUUCAAACUUGGAUUAAGGAAGUGACUGAAUGUAGACUUAUAGAUUUCUAUACUCAUUACAAAUCUCCUUUUUUAUCUCUCAUUUUUAGGUGCAUAGACUUGACAGAGACAGUAGUGGCAUCUUGGUGAUGGGGAGGACGCAAACAAGUGCAACAGUUCUGCAUUCUAUUUUCCGUGAGAAAACAUUUAGUGCAUCAAAAGAGGUAAAUCUCCCCUGUUCUCAUUUAUGCUUUCUUCAAUAACAGCCUCACAUGUGUAUGAGAAAUGCAUUGCUGUUAGUUCUGGGAUAAUUACAGUUGAACGUGUUAUGUAUAAGGAUAAUGACAACGAGAAAAGAAUCUUGCAAAGAUGGUAUUGGGCCCUUGUUGUUGGAACUCCAAGGUGCUCGAAGGGGGUGAUUUCAGCACCACUAAGAAAGGUUAGUACUUGAUUCUUAUUAACUGUUAUAUUAGAAAAUUCGUUUUAUUUUAGUCCCUGAAUUUUUUGAUUGGAGUGCUUGUAAAAUAUAUCCAAACUCGGUGCAUUUUAGUUUAUUGCAUCAGGUUGAGACUCGUCAAUUUGUCUGUGUGUGUGAGAGAGAUUUCUCGUACAUCUGGAUGAGGGAUGCUAAAAGAUAAUGAGCUAUGUAGCUUGAUAACUUUUUCUAUAUGAUUUUGUUUUGUGUUGCUCAAAUCGUACUAGUGUUCCAAGGUACUACUUGGAUUUUGUUAACAGCUGGUUCACCUCCCAUGCAAUACAUACCCUUUUCGAUUAAUUUAUUUCUGUCUGUCUCUAUAAAGUGGGAAUGACAAGAAGAUAGUCAGCUACACUGCAAUGUAGCUCUUGGCUCUAUUGCUUCUUCAUUUAUUCAUUUUAUUAGUAUGCUGGAUUUUAGGCUAUAUUGCAAGUACUUUAUGUUCUUAGAAUGGAUCGUGGUAAUUAUUGUCGAUUAACUUACACCUUUACCUAACAACAUAACUUCACAGUCUUGUAAGAGAAAAAAUUAGUUGUGCAAUUGUCCCAACAUAGCUUCAACUCUAUGUUUCAGUUAGAGCAUUUGUGAUAAAUUUUUGCUAUGGAUUAAUGACAGCUGAGCAUCUACACCUGGUUUAAUUCUAACUUUAUUGCUAUUAUUGCUUUCAGGUGGUGGUGGACAAUGGAAAGUCCGAUCGAAUCACAGUGGUUAACAAUGAUCAAAUUAUGUCAGCUCAGCAUGCAGUAACAAGAUAUCAAGUGAUUAAACCUUCAUGUCAUGGUUAGUAUAGACCUUCAUUGCGAGAUUUAGUUCAAUUUUGAAUUUAAAUGUGCUCUACUCUUGCUGCAUGUGUGCACUUGUGACUUUGGUGUCAAGGAAGAGAAUUAAUAUGCAUAUUAGAGUAGACAUUCUAAAGAGGGUGUAAAUACAUUGUUAGGACUUGUCCGGUGAUCUAGUUUGUGAAUGCCUGUUGCACUAAUAUCUUGUGUAUUUGGCUACCACCUGUAUGAAAAUGGUGCAGUUAAACCUUUUCCACCAUAUUGAGUCUGUCUUAUGAUGAUUAUUUUAUAGUUGCUUUUAGUUUCUGCUUAUGUUUGUCUUAUGAUGCAGGUUACACAUGGUUAAAAUUGUCUCCUCUCACUGGUAGAAAACAUCAGGUACAGACCAGAACGAAAUGAACAGCUCCAUGCAUUUGUGAUAUCUGAAUAAAUAUUUGUAUUUUUUAUUUUUUGGUACUUGUUUUAAAUCCUAUUUAACCACAUUUGGGUCCAACAGCUUCGAGUACAUUGUGCUGAGGUAUUAGGAACACCUAUAGUUGGAGACUAUAAAUACGGGUGGCAAACUCAUAGGAAGUGGAAACAAUUCCAUCCAUCUGAUCUUAAUAAGGACUCAAAUGACGAGACUCCGAAAGAAAAAACUCUUCACUUUGGCCUUGAUUUGGAGAGCGGGAGUAUCUUGGAAAAGCAACCUGGGCUGCAUCUUCACUGUAAGGAAAUGACUUUGCCAAACGUUUCUCAAGCUAUACAAAAAGUACAAUUAUCUUCAGGAUGUGAUGUUUCCAAACUAGAAAGUCUCAAGUUGGUUGCACCUUUGCCUUCACACAUGCAAAGAAGUUGGGAUGUUUUGAACUCUUGAGCUACAAGUAUAUCACACAGAAGUCCACACAAGAUUUCCUUGCUGAGUUUGCUGGAUUUCUUAAAUGUGAUGUUGAUGUGGGGGUCUAAAUUAGGGUAUUUAAAAUAGUGCUAAAAAUCAGUUUAAAUACCAAACUUUUAGCACAUAUCUUAUGGAUACCUCUAGAGUUUUAGAUUAUUCCUUGAGAGAUUGUAAAAUCUCAAUUCCUAUGGGGUAAAUAACAAGUUAUACGAUCAGAUUACGCGAACAAGGAUGUACAAAUUUUGAAUUGGUUAUUCAUGUAAUAUUGUUUGGAGGUGACUUGGAGAUAUUUUAUAAAUGCACCGUCAUAAACAAAGAAUAUGUUAAGUCACAUGACGCUAGCUUGAUAGUAGUGGUCAAGUAGAGCAUGCUGAAUUUCUUUAUGAUUGUGAUGAUAUGCUUGACUGACUCUGUCGAGUUCAAGUUAACCGAUUGUGCCUUGAAUUUCUUUAAUCUGUUUUGACUUUUUUCUGCUGAUUGAUGGUCAUGUUUUCACUGUUCGUCCAUCAUGUCUAUACACCAACCAGUUUAGUACCAUUCGAGUGCUGGCCUUUGCACCGAAUUAACAGAUUCAUGGCUGCCACAAGCAGGUAUCAUUUUUGAAUCAUGAUCUGCUAUUCUGAAGGGUCACAUAAUUCAUCUAUUUAUAAUGUUAUAUAUAAUGUUUUCUAAUACUAACAUAGAUUUGGUCACAUGAUCUGAUUGUCUCCACUAGCUUAAUUGGAAGUCAUUAUAUUUAAUGCUAGACUUACUUUCGGCAUGCAUUAUUUUUAAUAAUUUUUUUAAAAUUUUUUUUCUAUUAAUUAUGGAUCUGUAUAACUGUUUCUGCAACUCGUAGAACUCAUAAGUAGCAGCAUGACUUAGCAACAUAUUUACAACUUUGAUUUAGUCUCAUCAUCUCAUUUGGAACUGGCCAUUUAAGACAUCUGAACUGAAUUUCUAUAUGGUUGACAUUUCAUGUCGUUCUUCUUUUUGUACCCAUACCCUCAAAAUCUUCUUAUUCAAACUAAACUAGCUUACAGCUUUCAAAUGAGACCAUCCGGCCACCCUAAAAGAAAAUGACAUGCUUAGAUCAACUAUCUAUAAAAUAGUAAUUUUUCUGAGAUUGACUUUGAAAAACAGUUUGCUAAUAUUACCAAACAGCAAAGGUAGUAGGUGAGUUGAAAAGUCGACAGAUGAACACAAGUGAAGUAGGUGGAUAGCUUCACGAUAGUGGGUUUUAUUUUUUAAAAUUAUUGACAUUUUCUUAUAUGUUUUUGUAGAAGUGAAAUCACAAUGAUUAUGAAAAAUUCUCGAUUGGAGUUGGUGGCAAGCAUGAGAAGAUAAUUAUGAUUUAUGAUGACCAUUGAUCAAAGAUAAGAUAAAGCCAUUGCCUGAAAAGGUUAUAGGUCAGUGUGAACAUGUCUCUGGUUCCAAAGGACCUAUAGUUCAUUAUACGUCGACAAAAAUUAAAAUGGGCCCUGGCCCUGGCCCUACGAAAGGUUUUAUUUCUAAAGGACUAUUAUUAUGGUUCACUAAAAGACUAAUAUUGAGAUUGUAUUAAAAUAAUAAAUUUCCUUAAUUAAGCAAUAAAGUGAGACUUAUGAACCUCUUACGUGUACAGAUUGUCAGAGGGGGGUGAGCAGUCAGCAUUUCAUUUUCUCUUCAAUUUCCCCUACGGGCAGAAGUGAGAAAGAGGUAAGUUGCCCGUUGUCUCAGGGAGGUGGGAUGCGGGCAGCCGCUGCUGCUAUCCCUUCAUUUGCUGGCCAUCUUGAAUUAUUUUUAGGAAGGAAGGAGCCCUUUCCGCUAGACAGCUAGCCAUGUGGCUGCACUGAUAGGCGGAUCGACUCAUCAAGUUCCCAUUGAAAUAGGAUCCGCACAAGGAAAAGCACUUGGUCCUUUGCUUUUCCUUUGACUCAAAUAAAAUAAAGUCCACUAAAGAAAAUAUUGUUGGCCGACAUGACGCCAUUAACACUGGCCUUAUUUAGAGUUGAGCCCUAGUUAAGAAAAAAAUCAACAAGGAUUUGAUGAUAAUAAAUGCUGAGAUGAUUCUGAGUUGAUCGAUAAUCU